GUCAAACAUGUUAAGUUGUGCAUACAACAUCUGCGUAAGAAGGGGGCUCAGUUGGACGCUAAGUCUACCAAUUUGGUCUCUUUUUGUAGAAUAGACACCGACCCAUUGGAGAAAGAUGUUGCCCGUAUAUACAUAGCAGUCGUGUGCAAGAAAGUCUGUGCACAGAUACGGCUAAUUGCUGGACUUGAAGUCAUCAGUGGGACUAAUCAAGAUAGUUCAUCACUGUAUGUUGUUGGUUUGAAGGACGAUAAUGAGGUGUGGGAUGAAGUGAGGGCCGCUAGGAACCCUGAGCAGAUAGAAAAGGCGAUGGAUUUCUUAAAGGGGUUUUUAGAUAAAGGAUCGUCAUCCCACGAGAACAUCGUGGCCGGAGAAUUUGGUCCUAUGCCAACUCACUUUUCGUCUAGUAACCAGCCAUUAGAGAAGAGAGUCCUUGAUCCUGAUGAGAUUAGGGCAAAAGGAGCUCCAUCGAAGAGACGAAGGCCAUUCCAUGAGACAUUGCACACAAAUAACCAAUAA
rnacentral:lncRNA from 1 species